rnacentral:rRNA from 1 species
AGCAGCCGCGGUAAUUCCAGCUCCAAUAGCGUAUAUUAAAGUUGUUGCAGUUAAAAAGCUCGUAGUUGAACCUUAGGCCCGUGCGGGCGGUCCGUCCUCAGGGCGAGCACUGCCUCGUCGCGGGUCUCACCUUCUGGCGAGCGUGGAUGCCAUUCACUUGGUGUCUGCGGGAACCAGGACCUUUACCUUGAAAAAUUAGAGUGCUCAAAGCGGGCUCGUACGCUUGAAUACAUUAGCAUGGAAUAAUGAAAUAGGACGACGGUUCUAUUUUGUUGGUUUCCGGGAUUGUCGUAAUGAUUAAUAGGGAUAGUUGGGGGCAUUCGUAUUCAAUUGUCAGAGGUGAAAUUCUUGGAUUUAUUGAAGACGGACUACUGCGAAAGCAUUUGCCAAGGAUGUUUUCAUUAAUCAAGAACGAAAGUUGGGGGAUCGAAGACGAUCAGAUACCGUCGU